rnacentral:rRNA from 1 species
AUGCGCAGAUAUCAGGAAGAACACCGAUGGCGAAGGCAGGUCUCUGGGCUGUAACUGACGCUGAGAAGCGAAAGCAUGGGGAGCGAACAGGAUUAGAUACCCUGGUAGUCCAUGCCGUAAACGUUGGGCACUAGGUGUGGGGGACAUUCCACGUUUUCCGCGCCGUAGCUAACGCAUUAAGUGCCCCGCCUGGGGAGUACGGCCGCAAGGCUAAAACUCAAAGAAAUUGACGGGGGCCCGCACAAGCGGCGGAGCAUGCGGAUUAAUUCGAUGCAACGCGAAGAACCUUACCAAGGCUUGACAUAUACUGGACCGCAUCAGAGAUGGUGUUUCCCUUCGGGGCUGGUAUACAGGUGGUGCAUGGUUGUCGUCAGCUCGUGUCGUGAGAUGUUGGGUUAAGUCCCGCAACGAGCGCAACCCUCGUUCUAUGUUGCCAGCACGUUAUGGUGGGGACUCAUAGGAGACUGCCGGGGUCAACUCGGAGGAAGGUGGGGAUGACGUCAAAUCAUCAUGCCCCUUAUGUCUUGGGCUUCACGCAUGCUACAAUGGCCGGUACAGAGGGUUGCGAUACUGUGAGGUGGAGCUAAUCCCUAAAAGCCGGUCUCAGUUCGGAUUGGGGUCUGCAACUCGACCCCAUGAAGUCGGAGUCGCUAGUAAUCGCAGAUCAGCAACGCUGCAGUGAAUACGUUCCCGGGCCUUGUACACACCGCCCGUCAAGUCACGAAAGUUGGUAACACCCAAAGCCGGUGGCCUAACCUUUUUGGAGGGAGCCGUCUAAGGUGGGAUUGGCGAUUGGGACUAAGUCGUAACAAGGUAGCCGUACCGGAAGG